UUUUGGGUAUUGUAGUGCUUUUUUCACACUAUUUGAACUUUUUUCGUAGGUUAUGAGUUACGAACCUACACCUAAGCUGUUUUAGGUCAUUUUGAAAGUUCCAGUGAAACUUAGACACGUUUUGAACUCGUUUUAGGUUGGAUUGAAACUAAGUUUUAAACAUAUUUGAUUGACAUGUUGGGCUCUUGAAGUACUUUUUUCACACUUUUUGAAAUUUUGGUAGGUUGUGAGUUACAAACUUACACUUAAGCAUUGGUUGGUCGUUUUGAAAAUUCAAGUGAUACUUACACACGUUUUUGACUACAUUUUAGGUUAGAUUGAGUUUGUUGCACUUGGUUGUCAUUUUUUGUCUUGAAAUGCUUUUUUCAACCUUUUUGGUAGAUUAUGAGUUACGAACUUACACUUAGAAUUUGCUAGAUCGUUUUGAAAACUCAAGUAAUACCUAGACACGUUUUGAGCACGUUUUAGGUUGGUUUGAACUAAGUUUGUUGCACUUACACACUUGGUUGCCAUUUUGGGUAUUGUAGUGCUUUUUUCACACUAUUUGAACUUUUUUCGUAGGUUAUGAGUUACGAACCUACACCUAAGCUGUUUUAGGUCAUUUGAAAGUUCCAGUGAAACUUAGACACGUUUUGAACUCGUUUUAGGUUGGAUUGAAACUAAGUUUUAAACAUAUUUGAUUGACAUGUUGGGUCUUGAAGUACUUUUUUCACACUUU
rnacentral:lncRNA from 1 species